CAGCCGCCACGGUAAUACGUAGGUGGCAAGCGUUGUCCGGAAUUAUUGGGCGUAAAGCGUGCGCAGGCGGUUCGUUAAGACAGAUGUGAAAUCCCCGGGCUUAACCUGGGAACUGCAUUUGUGACUGGCGGGCUAGAGUAUGGCAGAGGGGGGUAGAAUUCCACGUGUAGCAGUGAAAUGCGUAGAGAUGUGGAGGAAUACCGAUGGCGAAGGCAGCCCCCUGGGCCAAUACUGACGCUCAUGCACGAAAGCGUGGGGAGCAAACGGGAUUAGAGACCCCAGUAGUCCCUGUCUCUUAUAC
rnacentral:rRNA from 1 species